rnacentral:piRNA from 1 species
UGCCUGUCUUGUUUCCUAAUUGGGCCGC